rnacentral:rRNA from 1 species
UACGUAGGGGGCAAGCGUUGUCCGGAUUCAUUGGGCGUAAAGAGCGUGUAGGCGGCCAGGUAGGUCGGUUGUGAAAACUGGAGGCUCAACCUUCAGACGUCGACCGAAACCAUCUGGCUAGAGUCCGGGAGAGGAGAGUGGAAUUCCUGGUGUAGCGGUGAAAUGCGUAGAUAUCAGGAGGAACACCUGUGGCGAAAGCGGCUCACUGGACCAUAACUGACGCUGAGGCACGAAAGCUAGGGGAGCAAACAGG